CCUACGGGUGGCAGCAGUGGGGAAUAUUGCACAAUGGGGGAAACCCUGAUGCAGCGACGCCGCGUGAGUGAAGAAGUAUUUCGGUAUGUAAAGCUCUAUCAGCAGGGAAGAAAUAGCGACCUUUGGGUCGCCAGACGGUACCUGAUUAAGAAGCCCCGGCUAACUACUUGCCAGCAGCCGCGGUAAUACGUAGGGGGCAAGCGUUAUCCGGAUUUACUGGGUGUAAAGGGAGCGUAGACGGCAGCGCAAGUCUGAAGUGAAAUGCCGGGGCUUAACCCCGGAACUGCUUUGGAAACUGUGCAGCUAGAGUGCAGGAGAGGUAAGUGGAAUUCCUAGUGUAGCGGUGAAAUGCGUAGAUAUUAGGAGGAACACCAGUGGCGAAGGCGGCUUACUGGACUGUAACUGACGUUGAGGCACGAAAGUGCGGGUAUCGAACAGGAUUAGAUACCCGUGUAGUC
rnacentral:rRNA from 1 species